rnacentral:rRNA from 1 species
GACGAACGCUGGCGGCGUGCCUAAUACAUGCAAGUCGAGCGGAUCUGAUGAAGUGCUUGCACUUCUGAUGGUUAGCGGCGGACGGGUGAGUAACACGUAGGCAACCCGCCUGCAAGCCCGGGAUAACAUUCGGAAACGAAUGCUAAGACCGGAUACGCAGCUUGGUCGCAUGACUGAGCUGGGAAAGACGGAGCAAUCUGUCGCUUGUAGAUGGGCCUGCGGCGCAUUAGCUAGUUGGUGAGGUAACGGCCCACCAAGGCGACGAUGCGUAGCCGACCUGAGAGGGUGAACGGCCACACUGGGACUGAGACACGGCCCAGACUCCUACGGGAGGCAGCAGUAGGGAAUCUUCCACAAUGGACGCAAGUCUGAUGGAGCAACGCCGCGUGAGUGAGGAAGGCCUUCGGGUCGUAAAGCUCUGUUGCCAGGGAAGAACGCCUAGGAGAGUAACUGCUCUUAGGGUGACGGUACCUGAGAAGAAAGCCCCGGCUAACUACGUGCCAGCCGCCGCCGUAAAAC